AUGUCCUUGUUUGUUUUUCCAGGGGUUAAUGUAACGUGUGAAAAUCAAUCGGUUGUAGCAGGACAGAACCACAACCUGACAUGUAGAGUGGAUUACAGUGAUGUAGGUCAGAAUAAUCUGGGAUGUAAAACUACAAAUUGUUUCUGGAAACAUAAAUCAAAAUCUCCAAUACGAAAUUGUGAUUGUACAAAAGAUUGUAACACUACGAUAACAACCAACACCUACUUUUGUGAGAUCAAAAAUGUUACCAAAGCUGAUGAGGGAAACUACACUUUUACCAUUAACACAGACUGUGGCAACGGACAUGGCACAUUGAAUGUUUCCGUUACAGUGAGCAAUGAAAAACAAGCGUUUCUGGGAUCGUCAGGUCACCUAUCGUCAGRAUCAUCACUGUUCUGGGUUUUCUACUGUUUCUCAUCMRAAGACUUAAUAGUUCCUUGAGAAACAAUGACAAAGCUACCAGAGAGGCCCUAAACCAGAAGCCUGCAUAACUUUCAGUCUGGAGGAGCUGUGUGUGUUGGUUCUACUAUCCUUGUGGGGACAGAAAUAUCUCAUUUACACAAGGAGUCAAACUCCUAAGUCAAUACUUUGUGGAAGCUAUUUUGGCAUUGAUUACAGCUGUGAGUCUGUCUGGGUACGUCUCUAAGUCAAUACUUGUAGAAGCUCCUUUUGCAUUGAUUACAGCUGUGAGUCUGUCUGGGUACGUCUCUAAGAUAUUCCACAUCUGGAUUGUUCAACAUUUCCCCAUUAUUCUUUUCUAAAUUCUUCAAGCUCUACCAAAUUGGCUGUUGAUCAUAGCUAGAGAACCAUUUUCAGAUCUUGCUAGAUUGACUGUCUUCUUGGCAACUCUAGUGUAGAUUUGGCCAUGGUUUAUUGUCCAGUUGAAAGGUGAAUCAUCUCCCAGCAUCUAGUGUAUUGGAUUUGCCUACAAAAUAACACUUUGUAUUCAGGUCAAAAACUGAAUUACUUUGCCAUGUUUUUUGCAGUGCUACAAUAGUGCCCUGUUUCAAACAUGAUGCAUGUUUUGGAAAUUUUAUCUGUACAGGCUUCCGUUCACUCUGGUCAAUUAUUAUUAUAUUUACCUUUAUUUAACUAGACAGUCAGUUAUGAACAAAUCUUAUUUACAAUGACAGUCUACCGGGGAAACAGUGGGUAAUACGCUUGUUCAGGUGCAGAACAAACGGUUUUUACCUUGUCAGCUCAGGGAUUCAAUCCAGGAACCUAUUGGUUAAUGGCACAACACUCUAACCACUAGGCAACCUGCCGCCCCAUCAAACUAGUCAAGGUUAGUAUUGUGGAGUAACACAAUGUGUUUGAUCUAUCCUCAGUGUUCUCCUAUCACAGCCAUUAAACUCGUAACUGUUUUAAAGUCACCAUUGGCCUCAUUGUGAAAUCCAUGAGGGCUUCCUUCCUGUCUGACAACUGAGUUAGGAAGGACACCUGUACUUUGUAGUGACAGGAUGUAUUGAUACACACCCAAAGUCAGUUAGUAACUCCACCAAGCUCAAAGGAAUAUUCAAUGUCUGCUUUUUGUUUUACCCAUCUACCAAUAGGUUCCUUACAAGGCAUUUGGAAAACCUCCCUGGCCUUUGUCCUUGGAUCUGUGUUUGAAAUCCCUGCUCGUCGGAGAGACCUUACAGAUAAUGUAUGUGUGGGGUACAGAGAUGAGGUAGUCAUAAAAAAUCAUGUUAAAACACUAUAUUGCACACAGAGGAGUCCAUGCAAUGAUUAUGUGAUUUGUUAAGCAAAUGUUACUCAUGAACUUAUUAGACUUGUCAUACAAAGGGGUUGAACACUUUUUUACUCAAGACAUUUAAGAUGUUUAUUUUUUUCAUUAUUUGUAAAACUUUUGAAAAACUUAAUUCCACUUUGUCAUUAUGGGCUAUUGUGUGUGGACCAGUGACCCAAACAUCUCAGUUGAAUUCUAUUUCAAUUCAGGCUUUAACACAACAAAAUGUGAACAAAGUCAAGGGGUGAAUACUUUCUGAAGGCACUGUGUCAUUUGAUGUGUUGUAUUAUUCUGUAAAACUCACAAACAGUGAUUACCACUAAGCUUGGUUUGUAUAAUUGAUGUAAUAUUCUGCAUGGGAA
ensembl:lncRNA